rnacentral:rRNA from 1 species
CCUACGGGAGGCUGCAGUGGGGAAUAUUGGACAAUGGGGGCAACCCUGAUCCAGCCAUGCCGCGUGUGUGGAGAAGGCCCUCGGGUUGUAAAGCACUUUCAGUGAGGAAGAACGCCUGGUGGUUAAUACCCAUCAGGAAAGACAUCACUCACAGAAGAAGCACCGGCUAACUCCGUGCCAGCAGCCGCGGUAAUACGGAGGGUGCGAGCGUUAAUCGGAAUUACUGGGCGUAAAGCGCGCGUAGGUGGCUUGAUAAGCCGGUUGUGAAAGCCCCGGGCUCAACCUGGGAACGGCAUCCGGAACUGUCAAGCUAGAGUGCAGGAGAGGAAGGUAGAAUUCCCGGUGUAGCGGUGAAAUGCGUAGAGAUCGGGAGGAAUACCAGUGGCGAAGGCGGCCUUCUGGACUGACACUGACACUGAGGUGCGAAAGCGUGGGUAGCAAACAGGAUUAGAUACCCUUGUAGUC